rnacentral:rRNA from 1 species
UACGUAGGGGGCGAGCGUUGUCCGGAUUUACUGGGCGUAAAGCGCACGCAGGCGGUCUGCUAAGUUUGGAGUGACAGUUGGUGGCUUAACUGCCAAAGUGCUUCGAAAACUGACAGACUUGAGGGCUUCAGAGGGACACGGAAUUCCGGGUGGAGUGGUGAAAUGCGUAGAGAUCAGGAGGAACACCGGUGGCGAAGGCGGCCGACUGGGCUGCCUCUGACGCUGAGGCGCGAAAGCUCGGGGAGCGAACGGG